UGAAGUGUUGGGGUUAAUUAUUAAUAACUGUGUGCGUCCAUUUGAGAAAACCACACACACAACCAACAUGCUUAUGAUUAUGAGUUAAAUCUACCAUCUCCAUAAACAUAAGCUGAGUGCCAACUGCUGCAUCCAACUUUGUACCUAUAUUGUAAAGUGUGGCAACGUUGCUGUCGAAUGUAUGUCUGUGCUGCUGAAGAAAGUUCAGUAAACUGUUCAAACUGA